GACAGCCCGGUGCAUAAAACGUGUAUAUUUCUCGCGAGUUUGUCGAUAGGAAGGAAAGAUUUCAACGAGUAUAUAGGUGAGCUGUGUAAAGCCCAUUUGAAAAUGAAACUUGUGUACAUCUCUAGCCUCGCACUGGUUCUGCUAUUUCUGAGUGCUGAAGCCUCACCUGUUGCCAAUUAUGGCGGUGACGACUACGAUGUCGAAUUGAACAAUGAGUAUGACGAAUGGAAAAACAAACGAAGCAUGUGUAAUUUUCCACUAGAACCUUGCAAUCAAUAUCUCCGAUACUUUGGUAACGUUAAUGGUUGUUGCCGUGGCUCGACAUGUUCCUAUGGUAUAUGUGUUAAGCAUGGUCGUGGGUAGCGCGAACUAAAGACAAGAAAGAACAUAUAUUCAAUAAUUAAGUUAAACCAUAAAUAUUGUCAACUCAAGAUGAUCACAACUCAAUAAAGU